GUUACAUUCCCUUGUUUAAUCCUGCUGUCCAUUCAGUGAUGACAGUAGGGCAGUCCUGUCUAUCACCCCACAUUCAUUGUGCCUGGCUGCUGCCUCUAUCGGAUUGUGGGCAAUGAGCCUUAUCAUGAUGUUCAACCAUGAGUAUCCUUCCUGAGGGAAUGUAGAGACAGGGUUUGUGUACUGGAUGCCUGGCAGGAUGGCACAGAACCAUGGGUGGUUUUGCCAUUGCCUGCAGCCUUCACAUGCCCGGCUCCUGAUUCUCACAACAGAUAGUAUAGCAGUGACCUGCGCACAUCCAGACCAUGCACUGCAGUGUCCAAUGCUCUACUUGGAUUUUGAAAAAAAUAUUGAUUAAAAUAAAAGGCUGUUGUGGUAUAAACAUGAUCAAAUUUAUGAUGACUCCAGCAACAUUGUCUAACACUAGAUAAAGGAUUCCGCCACAGCUACGGCCUCGAGACCAUCAGGAGCCAAAGGAGGGACUGACGCAGCCGAUCAUUAACUUUCAUCUAAACAUGUGAGCCUGAAAGUCAGUUAACAUAACUGGGCACUUCAGCCCAACCCUGACAGCAGCAUCACACAGAUCCUUAGUGGAGCUGAAUUGGAUUUUCAGGCAUCCAUUAAAAUUGACUUUAAAAAAAAAUUUGUUUCUGUGCAUGGAAUUGAGAAAGUGGCCCCCAUGUCCUGCUAAAGAAGAUGCUGCUUAUUGAUAUUACUGCUUAUUAUUUGUAUGGGAAUCCUCUUUCCUUUCUGACUUCUUUUUUUUUUUUGGUUUGCUUUUGCAACU